rnacentral:rRNA from 1 species
UACGUAGGCGGCAAGCGUUGUCCGGAUUUAUUGGGUUUAAAGGGUGCGUAGGCGGUUCCAUAAGUCAGUGGUGAAAUACGGCAGCUCAACUGUCGAGGUGCCAUUGAUACUGCGGAACUUGAGUACUGAUGAGGUAGGCGGAAUUGACGGUGUAGCGGUGAAAUGCUUAGAUAUCGUCAAGAACACCGAUAGCGAAGGCAGCUUACCAAGCAGUAACUGACGCUGAGGCACGAAAGUGCGGGGAUCAAACAGG